rnacentral:lncRNA from 1 species
CGAAAGGUUCUGGUAACUCUCGAUUUGGUGGAGACGAGACACAAAUCGAUCCAGCUUCCGAGCAACACGAUCUGAAACCCUGUAAUUUUUUUAUUUUUUUGAUAUUUUUCAUUUACUUAGGAGCACUAAAGAUGUAACCACAUAAAAUUUGAGGUUAAACAAGUGAAAGACGUGGCCUGCAAAAUUUUCUGAAGAUUGAGAAAAAUGUGAAAAAACUUCACGAGAUGAAAACUCAAAUUUCGGAUGCGAAUUUGAAGAUUAUAAAAUUUUCAAACUCGCCACAGGCAGGGAUAGACACAUCCAAAAAGUUUUUCUGAUCGAUUUUGAUAUAUGGAACAUUGAAAUCGGAGUUCGUAUGUGAAAGUUAUGGCUGUUUUACGAACGGGCUCCGAAAUAGAGGACAAAACGGUCCGAAAGUGGGAAAAAUUUGCGGCGGUGGCCAGAAAUUGAUGGAAAUAGUGUGGAAAAACACAUGAAAUGGACUCUAACAAGACCUAACCAGCAACAAGACCUCGACCAGGACACAAACUCAACACUGCAGUCUCUAAAACUGAAAUAUGCAAAGGCUAUGGCACGAAAGGAUUGUAGGACAGGAAAACAAUAUGGCACUGGACUUAUGGGAUGAACAUAAGAACACUCGAAACUAAGGGUAGAUGUGAACCUAAUGGUAUACCUGAAGCUUCGAUUACCACUUGUUGAGAACAAGGGUGGCCCGAUCUUCCGAAAGUUUAUGGUAACUCUCGAUUUGUUGGAGACGAGACACAAAUCGAUCCGGCUUCCGAACAACACGAUCUGAAACUCUACAAUUUUUUUAUUUUUUUGAUAAUUUUCUUUUACUUAGGAGCACUAAAGAAGUAACCACAGAAAAUUUGAGCUUAAACAAGUGAAAGACGUGGCCUGCUGAAUUUUCUGAAGAUUAAGAAAAAUAUAAAAAAACUUCACUAGGUGAAAACUCAAACUUCGGAGGCAAAUUUGGAGAUUUUAAAAUUUUCAAACCCGCCAAAGAUGGGGAUAGACACAUCCGUAAUUUUAUUCUGAUCGAUUUUAUAUAUGGAACAUUGAAAUCGGAGUUCGUAUGCGAAAGGUAUGGCUGUUUUACGAACAGACUCCAAAUUAGAGGACAAAACGGUGCGAAAGUGGGAAAAAUUUGCGGCGGUGGCUAGAAAUUGAUGGUAACAGUGAGAAAAUACACACGAACUGGACUCUAACGAGACCUAACUAGCAACAAGACCUCGACUAGGACACAAACUCAACACAGUGGACUCUGAAACUGAAAUAUGCAAAGGCUAUGGCGCGGAAGGGUUGUACGACAGGAUAACGAUAUGACACUCGACUUAUGGGACGAACACAAGAACACUCGAAACUAAGGGUAGAUGUGAACCUAACGGUAUAUCUGAAGCUUUGAUUACCACUUGAUGAGAACAAGGGUGGCCCGAUCUUCCGAAAGGUUCUGGUAUCUCUCGAUUUGCUGGAGACGAAACACAAAUCGAUCCGACUUCCGAGCAACACGAUCUGAAAGCCUGCAAUUUUUUUUUAUUUUUUUGAUAUUUUUCAUUUACUUAGGAGCACUAUGGAAGUAACCACAAAAAAAUUUGAGCUUAAACAAGUGAAAGACGUGGCCUGCGGAAUUUUCUGAAGAUUGCGAAAAAUGUGAAAUAACUUCACGAGGUGAAAACUCAAAUUUUGGAGGCGAAUUUGAAGAUCCUAAAAUUUUCAAACUCGCCAAAGGCAGGGAUAGACACAUCCAAAAAAUUUUUCUGAUCGAUUUUGAUAUAUGGAACAUUGAAAUCGGGGUUCGUAUGUGAAAGUUAUGGCUGUUUUAUGAACGGGCUCCGAACUAGAGGACAAAACGGUCCAAAAGUGGAAAAAAUUUGCGGCGGUGCCUGGAAAUUGAUGAAAACGGUGGGGAAAGACUCUGAAACUGAAAUAUGCAAAGGCUACGGCGCAGAAGGGUUGUAGGGUAGGAAAACGGUAUGGCACUGGACAUAUGGGACGAACACAAGAACACUCAAAACUAAGGGUAGAUGUGAACCUAAUGGUAUACGUGAAGCUUUGAUUACCACUUGAUGAAAACAAGGGUGGACCGAUCUUUCGAAAGGUUCUGGUAACUCGAUUUGGUAGAGACGAGACAAAAACCAAACCGGCCUCCGAACAACACGAUCCAAAAACCUACAAUUUUUUUUAUAAUUUUCUUUUACUUAGGAGCACUAAAGAAGUAACCAUAGAAAAUUUGAGCUUAAACAAGUGAAAGACGUGGCCUGCGGAAUUUUCUGAAGAUUGAGAAAAAUGUGAAAAAAACUUCAUGAGGUGAAAACUCAAUCUUUGGAGGUGAAUUUGGAGAUUUUAAAAUUUUCAAACCCGCCAAGCGCAGAUCCGAAAUUUUUUUCUCAUAGAUUUUGAUAUAUGGAACGUUGAAAUCGGAGUUCGUAUGCGAAAGUUACGGCUUUUUACGAACGGACUACGAAUUAGAGGACAAAACAGUGCGAAAGUGGGGAAAAUUUGCGGCGGUGGCUAGAAAUUGAUGGAAACGGUCAGGAAAUACAGACGAACUAGACUCCACAAACAACAAUGCGGACUCUGAAACUAAAAUAUGCAAAGGCUAUGGCGCGGAAGGGUUGUAGGACAAGAAAACGAUAUGGCACUGGACAUAUGGGUGUUGACGGUUCUUAAGUAUUAAUUUUAAUUAUCAAAUAAAUAAGAGAAAGGACCAAUAUGCAACCAACACCUAGAAUUAGGGUUUGAUCUGACAGAAUUCCACAAGUUUUGUUGUUUAUGUGUUUCUGCAGGGGGUUAUCAGGAAAUAAGGAAGAAAAGCCCACAUAUCGGGAUUACAUAGAGAUAUCAACGCACCGCACGAUUUUCUACCAUCUAGAAGACUCCAGAAGCCACGGGAAGAAGACGGAGGCCGAAAGGGGCCAGGCCCAGGGCGCCCGCCCCCCUCUGGAUUACAUUCGGGACUCUCUUCGCACGGGAUAUUCCACCGACCUAUUGGAUCAAGGAAAACAUAGUACCACCUCGCCUACCGACCCAAAAACGCAUAGAAGGGAAGGACUAUAUAAGGAGACCCCCCUGGCCCCUGGAGAAGACAUGAAGAAAUUAUCAUUGAGACUGAGGGGUGCCCUCGAAGGAAAACCUCUUCUCUAAUUAAUAUUUCUUUUUAGGCUUAGCAACCAAUGUAAGGUAGAAAUAGAUCUUCUAGUUUCUACUAGAUUGAGAGAGAUAGAGUGGAGGUGUAGAUUGGAGGAAGCCCGGCCUGUCGGUGUCUACUCCAAGCUUGUACCUGCAGGAUCAAGUUCUCCUAACCCGAAGCUUGCUCCUAGGAUUCUUCAGUAUUUCGACUUCUAAAUUCUAGUAAGUUCUUGUUUUAUUGUUCUUAUGGUUUAUGAGUUUACUUUAAUCUCUUCGCGUAGAGUUUAGAGUAAUCAUUGCUGGCGUAAACGUGGUGUUUAGGCUGGGGUACUCAUAGAUAUUCCCUGACUAGCUGGACCGUGGUAGUAGUGAGGAACGUGACAAUUCCGAGUUACCUUUGUAGAUCACAUCUCGUUAGCAGGAAGGAUAGGGUUUAUAGGUGCGGGUUGAACAUCCUUUGUGGUGUCUAGAUUCCGUUAGCCUCCCCAUUAGAACAAUAGAUUAUCCUUACCAAGGUUAGAAGGAGACUACGGUUGCAGUCUUCUCUAUUUAUCACUCACAUCGAAAGACAUUCUUUGUGCCUAAAGGUUAGUAGUAAUAGACCGGUUAGUCAGAUGCACUCUUUCUCCUAGUGGUAGAAAAAUAAAUACGAUACUCUGGAUAAUUUCCCGGGUGAAGUGCUCACCGAUAUCCGUGCGCUUGCGGAUCAAUUCCUUAUUGCGUUCCCAAAUAUCAACAAGCAUUUCUGGCGCCGUUGCCGGGGAGAAAGACGGUUGCUGAGAUAACCUGAGUCUUACUACUAGCUUGUAUCUAUACUUUUAUCUUUUCUUAUCUUUUAUAUUCUUUAUUUAUUUUCUUUAAUCUUACCUUAUGGAAAACCAAAAUUCUAAAUCGAUCCAUGAAUCUGCAAUCCCUUCAGCAACUGACCUUUUACCAUGGGAAUCAUCACAGCCUAUCCAAACAUCCCAGUAUAAGUUAAGUUCUAGGUUGAUUGCCAUGAUUCAAAACCUAUCUUUUUCGGGAAAGGAAGACGAAAACCCUUACCUUCAUAUUAGAGAUUUUGAGCAAACAUGUGAUUGUCUUCGCAUUGAAGGCAUUUCUGAUAAAACUUUACGUUGGAAGCUUUUUCCUUUUUCCUUAAGGGGAGAAGCUAGACAAUGGUACAGUCAGAAGGUAAGUCAACAACAAGGUGAAUGGGGAGUUUUACGAGCCAACUUUUGUCUAGAUUUCUAUUCCCUUGACCGUAUAGCCGACCUUAGACUCGAAGUCCUAUCUUUUAAACAAAAAGAUAAUGAAACUUUGGGAAAAUCCUGGAAACGUUUUUCUGAUCUUUUAGAAUCUGGUCCAAACCUUAAUCUUGAAGACCCUAUUCUUUUAUUCCACUUUUUCGAGGUCUUCAUAAAAAUCACAAACAAAUGCUGCACACAAUGUCUAGAGGUUCUUUCUUUUGCAUCCCUGCUGAUGAAGCUAGAGUGAUCCUAGAUAGAAUCCUAGAAGCUGAGAUGAAUAAUACCCUUCAUGAUGAAACCCACGAAGCCGAAGUAGACACUCUUCCAAAUUCUUCAGCUACUUUAGCUAUCCCAAGUUCUGAGCCACAAGAGGAAGAAAUUCUACCACCGGACUUCAUGCUGGAUAUAGAAUCCAAUCUUUUUGCCGAUUUUGGAAAUAUUUCAAACUACCAUUCUAUUGACAAACCCCAAAACGGUCAGUUUAGCAUUUAUUUGCCAAGUGAAUAUCAAUUGAGAGAGCUUAUCUCAGUCAUGAGUAGCGAAUGGUUGGAGGAAUCAGAGCUUUCCUCUGAUGUGAUCCGUUUGGACACACCCUCUAUAACUAUACGCUGUGCUUAUAAUUCUGAUCGAUUUAAUGCUCUUUAUAAUCCUGUUGUGGGGAUCAACGUCAUGUCUGAAUCUUUUGCACUUAAACUAUUUAAAAAGCUUGUCUUAACCCCCACAACAAAGGUCAUAAUGGAAUCUUCGGGACGGUUAGUCCCCAGUCUUGGAAUUAUUAAUGUCCUACCUCUUACGGUAGAAGGCUCCAUGGUUCAUUUGAACUUCUAUAUCUUUGAUACAUGGGACUUCGACCUGUUGAUAGGACAACCUUUUAGAAGACUCCUUUAUGAAGGUCAUACUGGAAAGCUACACAUUACUUUUGGAAAAACUUUUAAAUUCCCGAUAACAAUUUCACAAUCCUUAAACAAUAAGGCCGAGUCAUAUCUUUUGCCUGAUCCUAUGGAGGAGGUAAAGGCUGCAUCUCUAGAGCUUUUAGAUGAACCAGAUUUAGAAGACGAAACUCCUUUCUUCACUGAAGAAGAAGAUGAACCUUCUGAGCCUGAACCCUUAGAUGAGUUUGCAGAAGCACCUAGACCUCCCAUUGAACUUAAAACUUUACCACCCGGUCUUACCUAUGCUUUCUUAAACAAUAAUCCAGAGUUCCCUGUAAUCAUUAGCAAUAAACUCACUCAGGAUCAAACUCUGCGAUUAAUGACCAUUCUUGAAAAACAUCACUCAGUUUUUGGCUACUCACUUCAAGAUCUUACAGGAAUCAGUCCUAUGAUUUGUACCCAUCGUAUUCCAACAGAUCCUUCUGUUACACCCUCUCGAGAACCCCAACGUAGACUUAACAACACUAUGAGAGAGGUAGUUAAAAAGGAAGUUAUAAAGUUGCUGCAUGCAGGGAUUAUAUAUCCUGUGCCGCACAGUGAGUGGGUAAGCCCAGUGCAUGUUGUGCCUAAAAAGGGAGGCAUGACUGUUAUUAUGAAUGAAAAGAAUGAGCUAAUUCCGCAACGCACCGUCACAGGAUGGCGGAUGUGCAUAGACUAUAGAAAACUAAACAAAGCCACGAGAAAGAAUCACUUUCCUUUGCCUUUCAUAGAUGAGAUGCUAGAGCGGUUAGCAAACCAUUCGUUCUUCUGUUUCUUAGAUGGAUAUUCAGGAUAUCACCAAAUCCCGAUCCAUCCCGAUGAUCAAAGCAAAACCACUUUUACAUGCCCAUAUGGAACUUAUGCUUAUCGUAGAAUGUCUUUUAGGUUAUGUAAUGCACCAGCUUCUUUUCAAAGAUGCAUGAUGUCUAUAUUUUCUGAUAUGAUUGAAGAGAUUAUGGAAGUUUUCAUGGAUGAUUUCUCUAUUUAUGGAAAAACUUUUGAUAGUUGUAUUGAAAACUUAGACAAGGUUUUGGAAAGAUGUGAAGAAAAGCACUUAAUCCUUAAUUGGGAAAAAUGUCAUUUUAUGGUUAGGGAAGGAAUAGUGCUGGGACACCUAGUGUCUGAAAGAAGUAUUGAGGUAGACAAAGCUAAAAUUGAAGUAAUUGAACAACUACCUCCACCUGUGAACAUAAAAGGAAUUCGAAGCUUUCUUGGCCAUGCUGGUUUUUAUCGUAGAUUCAUAAAAGAUUUUUUAUUUAUUGCUAGACCACUUACUCUUUUGCUAGCCAAGGAUGCUCCUUUCGAAUUUGAUGAUGCAUGUCUAACAUCUUUCAAUUUAUUAAAGAAAGCACUCAACUCUACACCAAUCAUUCAACCCCCUAAUUGGUCGUUGCCUUUUGAAAUUAUGUGUGAUGCUAGUGAUUAUGCUGUGGGGGCAGUAUUGGGACAAACUAAAGAUAAGAAGCAUCAUGCAAUUGCUUAUGCCAGUAAAACUUUUACAGGAGCUCAACUUAAUUAUGCAACCACUGAAAAAGAGCUUCUGGCUGUUGUCUUUGCCAUUGAUAAAUUUAGAUCUUAUUUAGUUGGAGCUAAAAUAAUUGUUUACACUGAUCAUGCUGCACUAAAAUAUUUGCUCACUAAAAAAGAUGCUAAACCUCGUCUAAUUAGAUGGAUCUUAUUACUCCAAGAAUUUGACUUAGAAAUAAAAGAUAAAAAAGGAGUAGAAAAUUCUGUUGCAGAUCACUUGUCUAGAAUGUAUUUUAAGAGUCCAUAGGAAACCCCCAUUAAUGAUUCACUCCGGGACGACAUGCUCUACGGGAUUAACAGGUCUGACCCCUGGUAUGCAGAUAUUGUUAAUUUUAUGGUUUCAGGGUAUGUACCACCAGGAGCAAACAAGAAGAAGCUUAUUCAAGAAAGUCAUUCACAUAUAUGGGAUGAGCCAUACCUCUUCCGAGUAUGCUCUGAUGGCUUACUCAGGAGAUGUGUGACCACUGAGGAAGGAUGGAAGAUCAUCGACAGAUGUCAUUCAUCACCAUAUGGAGGCCACUAUGGAGCAUUCCGUACACAUUCAAAAAUCUGGCAGUGUGGAUUCUACUGGCCUACAAUGUAUGAAGACACGAAGCAAUAUAUCAGAAGAUGUGGGCCAUGUCAAAGACACGAAAACAUAAAUACAAGGGAUGCAAUGCCACUCACCAACAACCUUCAGAUUGAGCUCUUUGAUGUCUGGGGAAUAGACUACAUGGGUCCAUUUCCUCCAUCAAAGAAGUGUGAGUACAUCUUGGUGGCAGUUGACUAUGUCUCCAAGUGGGUAGAGGCAUUACCUUGCAAGCAUGCCGACAACGUCAGUUCAAAGAGGAUGUUUGAAGAAAUUAUAUUUCCAAGAUUUGGAGUUCCCAGAGUAGUGAUAAGUGAUGGAGGAGCACACUUCAUCGACAAACGCUUCAAGCAAUAUCUAUCAAGACAUGGAAUCCGUCACAACGUCGCUACCCCCUAUCAUCCUCACACAAGUGGCCAAGCAGAGACUUCCAACAAACAAAUCAAGAAUAUUCUUCAGAAGACAGUAAAUGAAAUGGGAACGGCGUGGAAAGACAAGUUACCCGAUGCACUCUGGGCAUACCGGACAGCAUACAAGACCCCAAUCGGAAUGUCUCCAUACCAAUUGGUGUACGGGAAGACUUGCCAUCUACCCGUUGAACUAGAGUUCAAAGCACACUGGGCCAUAAAGAGAUGGAAUAUGGACCUAGAUGUUGCUGGAGAUUAUAGAAGAAUGCAACUAUCAGAAUUGGAAGAAUGGCGAGAGAAGGCAUAUCACAACUCAAAGAUUUACAAAGAAAGAGUCAAAAGGUGGCAUGACAAGAGAAUCAAGAAGAAGGAGUUCACACCCGGAGAUAAGGUAUUACUUUUUAAUUCCAGGGUGAAGCUUUUCGGGCAUGGAAAACUCCGAAGCAAAUGGGAAGGACCAUUCAAGGUAAUUAAUUCAUAAUCCCACGGAGCUAUCACACUUCAAAAUAGCGAAGGUACGUUAUUCAAUGUAAAUGGUCAAUGUCUUAAAUUAUUUUUAGAGCCCAAUGAGGAAUUUGAAGAAAUAGACGUAGUCCAUUUUUACCUUCCCAUGGAGAAUUAGAGCCCGACACUUUUAGUCUGAUGUUUUUGGGUCAUAUAUAUAUUUUUCUAAAUAAUUUCGUAUCUAGAAACGCGCUCGGAAAAGUGGGCCCACAGAGGGGCCAGAGAGAGGGCGGGCGCCCAGCUCAGGUGGGCGGGCGCCCAGCUCCUGUUCCCCCUCGGUCCCGACUUUCUCUGUUAUGGAAAAUGCACUUAUGGUAAUUCGAAUAAUCCCUCGGAUGGAAAGUUUCGCACGCACGUCGACGGGAGAAACCCGAACAACCCAUAGAGGCACUUUUUGACCCCUAUAUAAACACACCCCUGACCUCAGUUUUCAAACACCAAGCCACCAAGCCUUCUCUCCUCCAAUUAGAGCUUGAUUAGUUCUCCUUCAAUUAGAGCUUGAUUAGUUCUUUGCUACUCCAAUGGCCGAGAAGUACCACGAUGAUUGGGAAGUCGUCCCCUUCAACCUCAACAUGGAGCCUGUGGAAGACCCCGAUGCCUGUGCUCUCAUCCCGGCCAACACAGAGCGACAGCUAGAAGCCAUGCCAUUACGCCAGCGCAGCUCUGCCCAAUCCUACCAUGCUCAACCAGUUCUCACCGCACCACCACAACCCCUACUCCUCAAAGGAUCAUCAUCCAAGACGAAGACCACCAAGGUGCCAAUCGGCACAAGGAUCCUUCCACCUAGACCCAAUGAGAGGGUCGUUGGAGUCAAGACCAACCGGAGCGGCAAGAUCAGCAGUGUUCGCUACACUACAGAGGAGGAAAGGCCUUACUUUGGAGGGAUUAGAGCAGCCAAAGUCUGUUUCAUCCCUCCAAAGGCAGCCCCGAAGCACGCUCUCAAUGCUUUUGAGACACCUCCCAAGCGUCGCAAGACUAUAAUGGAUAUUUAUGAGGAAGUUCGCAGACUAGAUAGAGUUAUCAUAGACCUCCAGUCCUCGAUUAAUUCCCUCACUAGGUAGCUCUCUAACCACAAAACCAUUAUACUAGGUCUUAGGCAGGAUCUUGCCAGUGCCAACAAGAAGAUCAAGGAAUUAGAGCGCCGCUAAGUUAUCUAGAUUAGACCUUGAGGCAAUACAUCUUAGUCAUUUAUCUUUAAAUUCAGUUUAGGUUUGAUAUUAUCAUCAGUUUACUAUUAUCAUCAGUUUGCUAUCAGUUUGCUACUAGUCUUUUGUAAUAAAUGCCUCAAGAUUAAUAAAGAGUAUUAUUAUUAUUAUGUCUUGUGUAUCUCUACUUAAUUUUUUGUGCAAGAAAGCAGAAAACAAGUAUGGGGGAGAUCCCUCGACAUGCCAAACACACUCCGACCACACCACUCCACGAUUCAGGUACACACUCUGCACACCUUACUUUACACAUACAUAUAUUUUGGAUUAUGCAGAUUACUGUUUCCGACAUGAUAAAUUAAAAAGAUUAAAAUAUUUCUAAUCAUGAUUAAUCUCAAUCUGUGAUAUUUCCUGAAAACUUGCAAUUAUUAUAAAAUCAUUUUAAAAACCCUGUGUUACUUAAGUCUUUGUGGAGUAUGUGAUGGUAGAGUAUGAGUUUCUUAUUCUUGAUAUCAUUGUUGCUUGGAGAAUUUAUUUCAAAAUAUUCAAAAUUCUAGCUACCAUCCUCAGUGUUUUAUAUGCCUGAUAAAACUGAAAAUAUUAAUUAUGAUUAUAAAAGCUAUCUAGUCUGUAUUGAGUUUGUUCAAAAUGAGUUAGACCCUUGUUGAGAGAUUUAUCAUGCUCCUCAGAUCAAGACAUUAUUUCAGAAAGAUUCACUCUUCCGAAGUAUUAUUGCAUUAGAGGCAUGAGCUAUGAAAAAAUAGAGAUAUUUUCGAGGAAAGAAAAAGGAGCAAGUGCUCGACAACCUCGCAGAAAAAAAUGGACAAGUGUCCGGCAGUAGAAUUAGGGGUACCUCGGUAUCCACCUAAAAAAAUGAUAGCCCAUGGUCCCUCUAAUAAGCAAUAUGCCAGCAAUAGUUGACAAAGAUUUUAAUUUCCAAUGUCUUUGAUCUAAGAGUAUGACAUUCCCCUCCCCGGAUCCCGUUUUGAUCAGGCAAUAAAUGCAAAGUAAGUAUGCUUGAGAAUUUUUGCAAAUUAAAACAACCUCAGUGAGAUAUAUAUAUAUAAAAUAAUGAGUGAUCUGAGAGAACCUAUGAGGAUAAAAAGGUAUGCUAACUUUCUUUCAAAAAUAUACAAAAGCUCCAAGUGACAGGAUUGAGAAGAAAGGAUCUUUACUCUUAACCAUAAACAUCCCUGACUAUGGUACACAGUGGAUUUUUAACACCCUGCAAAUAUAAAGAAUGUUUUAAAUGUUUACCCCAGAUAUUUUUCUUAACCAUCCUUUUCUCGAGGACGAGUAAAAGCCUAAGUAUGGGGGUAUUUGUUGACGGUUCUUAAGUAUUGAUUUUAAUUAUCAAAUAAACAAGAGAAAGGACCAAUAUGCAACCAACACCUAGAAUUAGGGUUUGAUCUGACAGAAUUCCAUGAGUUUUGUUGUUUAUGUGUUUCUGCAGGGGGUUAUCAGGAAAUAAGGAAGAAAAGCCCAAAUGUCGGGAUUACAUAGAGAUAUCAACGCACCGCACGAUUUUCUACCAUCUAGAAGACUCCAGAAGCCACGGGAAGAAGACGGAGGCCGAAAGGGGCCAGGCCCAGGGCGCCCGCCCUGGUGACCUGGGCGCCCGCCCCCCUCUGGAUUGCAUUCGGGACUCUCUUCGCACGGGAUAUUCCACCGACCUAUUGGAUCAAGGAAAACAUAGUACCACCUCGCCUACCGACCCAAAAACGUAUAGAAGGGAAGGACUAUAUAAGGAGACCCCCUGGCCCCUGGAGAAGACAUGAAGAAAUUAUCAUAGAGACUGAGGGGUGCCCUCGAAGGAAAACCUCUUCUCUAAUUAAUAUUUCUUUUUAGGCUUAGCAACCAAUGUAAGGUAGAAAUAGAUCUUCUAGUUUCUACUAGAUUGACAGAGAUAGAGUGGAGGUGUAGAUUGGAGGAAGCCCGGCCUGUCGGUGUCUACUCCAAGCUUGUACCUGCGGGAUCAAGUUCUCCUAACCCGAAGCUUGCUCCUAGGAUUCUUCAGUAUUUCGACUUCUAAAUUCUAGUAAGUUCUUGUUUUAUUGUUCUUAUGGUUUAUGAGUUUACUUUAAUCUCUUUGCGUAGAGUUUAGAGUAAUCAUUGCUGGCGUAAACGUGGUGUUUAGGCUGGGGUACUCAUAGAUAUUACCUGACUAGCUGGACCGUGGUAGUAGUGAGGAACGUGACAAUUCCGAGUUACCUUUGUAUAUCACAUCUCGUUAGCAGGAAGGAUAGGGUUUAUAGGUGCGGGUUGAACAUCCUUUGUGGUGUCUAGAUUCCGUUAGCCUCCCCAUUAGAACAAUAGAUUAUCCUUACCAGGGUUAGAAGGAGACUACGGUUGCAGUCUUCUCUAUUUAUCACUCACAUCGAAAGACAUUCUUUGUGCCUAAAGAUUAGUAGUAAUAGACCGGUUAGUCAGAUGCACUCUUUCUCCUAGUGGUAAAAAAAUAAAUACGAUACUCUGGAUAAUUUCCCGGUUGAAGUGCUCACCGAUAUCCGUGCGCUUGCGGAUCAAUUCCUUAUUGCGUUCCCAAAUAUCAACAAUGGGACGAACACAAGAACACUCGAAACUAAGGGUAGAUGUGAACCUAACGGCAUAUCUGAAUCUUUGAUUACCACUUGAUGAGAACAAGGGUGGCCCGAUCUUCCGAAAGGUUCUGGUAACACGAUUUGGUGGAAACGAGACACAAACCGAUACGGCUUCCGAACAACACGAGCCGAAACCCUGCAAUUUUUCUUAUUUUUUAAUAUUUUUCUUUUACUUAGGAUCACUAAAGAAGUAACCACAGAAAAUUUGAGCUUAAACAAGUGAAAGACGUGGCCUGCGGAAUUUUCUGAAGAUUGUGAAAAUUGUGAAAAAAACUUCAUGAGGUGAAAAAUCAAACUUCGGAGGUGAAUUUAAAGAUUCUAAAAUUUUCAAACCCACCAAAGGCGUGGAUAUAUAGAUCCAAAAUUUUUUUUCUAAUCGAUUUUGAUAUACGGAACGUUGAAACCUGAGUUCGUAUAUGAAAGUUAUGGCUGUUUUACGAACGGACUCCAAAUUAUAGGACAAAACGAUCCGAAAGUGGGAAAAAUUUGCGGUGGUGGCUAGAAAUUGAUGGAAAUGUUGGCGAAAAACACACAAACUGGACUCUAACAGGACCUAACUAGCAACAAGGCCUCAGCCAAGACACAAACUCAAUACUGCGGACUCUGAAACUGAAAUAUGCAAAUGCUAUGGCGCGGAAUGGUUGUAGGACAUGAACACGAUAUGGCAGUGGACUUAUGGAACGAACAUAAGAACACUCGAAACUAAGGGUAGAUGUGAACCUAACGGUAUACCUGAAGUUUUGAUUACCACUUGAUGAGAUCAAGGGUGGCCCAAUCUUCCGAAAGGUUCUGGUAACUCUUGAUUUGGUGGAGACGAGACACAAAUCGAUCCGGCUUCCGAACAACACGAUCCGAAUCCCUGCAACUUUUUUUUAUUUUUUUGAUAUUUUUCUUUUACUUAGGAGCACUAAAGAAGUAACCACAGAAAAUUUAAGCUUAAACAAGUGAAAGACGUGGCCUGUGGAAUUUUCUGAAAAUUGCGAAAAAUGUGAAAAAACAUCACGAGGUGAAAACUCAAACUUCGGAGACAAAUUUGGAGAAUCUAAAAUUUUCAAACCCGCCAAAGGCACCAAAGGCAUGGACAGACAGAUACGAAAUUUUUUUCUGAUCGAUUUUGAUAUAUGGAACGUUGAAAUCGGAGUUCGUAUACGAAAGUUAUGGCUGUUUUACGAACGGACUCCGAAUUAGAGGAUAAAACGGUGCGAAAGUGGGGAAAAUUUGCGGCGGUGGCUAGUAAUUGAUGGAAACGGUAAGGAAAUAGACACGAACUGGACUCCAAACAACACUGUGGACUCUGAAACUGAAAUAUACAAAGGCUAUGGCGCGGAAGGGUUGUAGGACAGAAAAAUGAUAUGGCACUGGACAUAUGGGACGAACACAAGAACACUCGAAACUAAGAGUAGAUGUGAACCUAACGGUAUACCGGAAUCUUUGAUUACCACUUGAUGAGAACAAGGGUGGCUCGAUCUUCCGAAAUGUUCUGGUAACUCGAUUUGGUGGAGACGAGACACAAACCGAUCCGGCUUCCGAACAACACGAGCUGAAACCCUGCAAUUUUUCUUAUUUUUUUUAAUAUAUUUCUUUUACUUAGGAGCACGAAAGAAGUAACCACAGAAAAUUUAAGCUUAAACAAGUGAAAGACGUGGCCUGCGGAAUUUUGUGAAGAUUGUGAAAAAUGUGAAAAAAAACUUCAUGAGGUGAAAAAUCAAACUUAGGAGGCGAAUUUGGAGAUUCUAAAAUUUUCAGACCCACCAAAGGCGUGGAUAUAUAGAUCCAAAAAUUUUUUCUAAUCGAUUUUGAUAUACGGAACGUUGAAACCAGAGUUCGUACGUGAAUGUUAUGGCUGUUUUACGAACGGACUCCAAAUUAGAGGAAAAACGGUCCGAAAGUGGGAAAAAUUUGCGGUGGUGGCUAGAAAUUGAUGGAAACGGUGGCGAAAAACACACGAACUAGACUCUAACAAGACCUCGACCAGGACACAAACUCAACACUGCAGACUCUGAAACUGAAAUAUGCAAAGGCUACGACGCAGAAGGGUUGUAGGGUAGGAAAACGGUAUGGCACUGGACAUAUGGGACGAACACAAAAACACUCAAAACUAAGAGUAGAUGUGAACCUAAUGGUAUACGUGAAGCUUUGAUUACCACUUGAUGAGAACAAGGGUGGACCGAUCUUUCGAAAUGUUCUGGUAACUCGAUUUGGUAGAGACGAGACAAAAACCAAUCCGGCCUCCGAACAAUCCAAUAACCUACAAUUUUUUUUAUAAUUUUCUUUUACUUAGGAGCACUAAAGAAGUAACCAUAGAAAAUUUGAGCUUAAACAAGUGAAAGACGUGGCCUGCAGAAUUUUGUGAAGAUUGAGAAAAAUGUGAAAAAAACUUCACGAGGUGAAAACUCAAUCUUUGGAGGUGAAUUUGGAGAUUUUGAAAUUUUCAAACCCGCCAAGCGCAGAUCCGAAAUUUUUUUCUGGUAGAUUUUGAUAUAUGGAACGUUGAAAUCGGAGUUCGUAUGCGAAAGUUACUGCUUUUUACGAACGGACUACGAAUUAGAGGACAAAACAGUGCGAAAGUGGGGAAAAUUUGCGGCGGUGGAUAGAAAUUGAUGAAAACAGUGAGGAAAUACAGACGAACUGGACUCCACAAACAACAAUGUGGACUCUGAAACUAAAAUAUGCAAAGGCUAUGGCGCGGAAGGGUUGUAGGACAAGAAAACGAUAUGGCACUGGACAUAUGGGACGAACACAAGAACACUCGAAACUAAGGGUAGAUGUGAACCUAACGGUAUAUCUGAAUCUUUGAUUACCACUUGAUGAGAACAAGGGUGGCCCGAUCUUCCGAAAGGUUCUGGUAACUCGAUUUGGUGGAAACGAGACACAAACCGAUACGGCUUCCGAACAACACGAGCCGAAACCCUAUAAUUUUUCUUAUUUUUUUAAUAUUUUUCUUUUAGUUAGGAGCACUAAAGAACUAACCAUAGAAAAUUUGAAUUUAAAGAAGUGAAGGCGUGGCCUGCGGAAUUUUCUGAAGAUUGUGAAAAAUGUGAAAAAAACUUCUUGAUGUGAAAACUCAAAAUUCGGAGGCGAAUUUGGAGAUUCUAAAAUUUUCAAACCCACCAAAGGCGUGGAUAUAUAGAUCCAAAAAUUUUUUCUAAUUGAUUUUGAUAUACGGAACAUUGAAACCGGAGUUCGUAUGCGAAAGUUAUGGCUGUUUUACGAACGGACUCCAAAUUAGAGGACAGAACGGUCCGAAAGUGAGAAAAAUUUGCGGCGGUGGCUAGAAAUUGAUGGAAACGGUGGGAAAAAAUACACAAACUGGACUCUAACAGGACCUAACCAGCAACAAGACCUCAGCCAAGUCACAAACUCAAUACUGCGGACUCUGAAACUGAAAUAUGCAAAGGCUAUGGCGCGGAAGGGUUGUAGGACAAGAAAACGAUAUGGCACUGGACUUAUGGGACGAACAUAAGAACACUCGAAACUAAGGGUAGAUGUGAACCUAACGGUAUACCUGAAGUUUUGAUUACCACUUGAUGAGAACAAGGGUGGCCCGAUCUUCCGAAAGGUUCUGGUAACUCUUGAUUUGGUGGAGACGAGACACAAAUCGAUCCGGUUUUCGAACAACACGAUCCGAAUCCCUGUAAUUUUUUUGUUAUUUUUUUGAUAUUUUUCUGUAACUUAGGAGCACUAAAGAAGUAACCACAGAAAAUUUGAGCUUAAACAAGUGAAAGACGUGGCAUGUGGAAUUUUCUGAAGAUUGCG